rnacentral:sRNA from 1 species
GCCAGGCCGACUGAGGUCGAUGCGUCAUCGGCCGGCGUUCGCGCCGGUCCGCAACACCGCCGUCCAGGAGCGCCUCCCUGGUCGGCGCGCCGUGUCCCUUGCUGCCGGGUCCUCGCGACCCGGCAGGUUUUUGCGACCGCGACGCCGGCACGGGCCAGCGUUGCACCCAUGGGAUGCUGUGACCGCUUUGUUAAAAUUUGGCUAAACGCGUGAUAUUCUCGUUGUCUGUUCAGUUCCCGUGCGAACAGACGUUUCCAGACUGUCUGCCAUGACCCAGCAACGCACUCUCAAGAACACGAUCCGCGCCACCGGCGUGGGCCUGCACAGCGGCGACAAGGUCU